rnacentral:rRNA from 1 species
UACUAGCGAUUCCGACUUCAUGGAGUCGAGUUGCAGACUGCAAUCCGGACUACGACGCACUUUAUGAGGUCAGCUUGCUCUCGCGAGGUGGCUUCUCUUUGUAUGCACCAUUGUAGCACGUGUGUAGCCCUGGCCGUAAGGGCCAUGAUGACUUGACGUCAUCCCCACCUUCCUCCGGUUUAUCACCGGCAGUCUCCUUUGAGUUCCCGGCCGAACCGGUGGCAACAAAGGAUAAAGGUUGCGCUCGUUGCGGGAAUUAACCCAACAUUUCACAACACGAACUGAAGAAAGCCAUGGCACACCUGGCGCAAAAUUCCCGAAAGCACCAAAGCAUCUCUGCUAAGUUCUCUGGAUGGCAAGGGCAUGUAAAGUUCCUCGCGUUGCAUCGAAUUAAACCACAUGCUCCACCGCUUGGGCCGGCCCCCGUCAAUUCAUUUGAGUUUUAAACUUGCCGCCGUACUCCCCAAGCCGUCGACUUAACGCGUUAACUCCCGAAGCCACGCCUCCAGGGAACAACCUCCCUAUCUACAUCCUUUACCGCGUGGACUAACAAGGUAUCUAAUCCUGGUUGCUCCCCCCGCUUUUCCACC